GAUGAAGAACGCAGCGAAAUGCGAUACUUGGUGUGAAUUGCAGAAUCCCGUGAACCAUCGAGUCUUUGAACGCAAGUUGCGCCCGAAGCCACUAGGCCGAGGGCACGCCUGCCUGGGCGUCACACGUCGUUGCCCCCCCCCCAUCUACUCCUUCGGGAUUGCGGGGGGCGGAUGAUGGCCUCCCGUGCGCCUAGCCGCGCGGUUGGCAUAAAUACCAAGUCCUCGGCGACGCACGCCACGACAAUCGGUGGUUGCGAAACCUCGGUUGCCCGUCGUGUGCGUUCGUCGCGCAUCGAGGGCUCGAAAAAAUGCUCGGCUCCGGCUCGGCUUUCAACGCGACCCCAGGUCAGGCGGGGUUACCCGCUGAGUUUAAGCAUAUCAAUAAGCGGAGGA
rnacentral:misc_RNA from 1 species